rnacentral:rRNA from 1 species
AAGAACUUUGAAGAGAGAGUUCAAGAGGGCGUGAAACUGCUUAGAAGCAAACGGAUGGACCUGAUGGUGAGUCGAUGGGAUUCAGCUUAGUGCGCUGCCACCACCUAGAAUCGGAUCGCUCGACCGGUUUCGGGGUUAAGGUUGCAGUCGGUGAGUGCAUUUCCCAUCGAUGCGCACCGGGACCUGUGACCGCACUGGAAUCAAAAGAACAAUUGCCGGCCAUUGUUUUGGUGUCCCGCUGUUCUUGUAGACCAAGUUGCCGUUACAGGAGCUGGAAUGGGCCCGCUCGGCUCGUCGGCACUUCGAACCUUUCCAAUCGAAAUGUUGUUCCUUGCUCGCAAGGUUCGGCGACACCUGGAUCGGGGAUAGGUGUUGGACGAGUAGGUCCUAUUUCCCGGUGUUUCGUCAGUCACCCAUCCGACCCGUCUUGAAACACGGACCAAGGAGUCUAACAUGUGCGCGAGUCAUUGGGUUGCAAAACCUAAAGGCGAAAUGAAAGUGAAGUCCAAUUCGGUUGGAUGAUAUGGGACCCCGGGGUUCGCACCUCGGGUGCACCAUAGUCCCAUCCUUACUGCAUCGUCAGUCGGGUGGAGAUAGAGCGUACACGUUGGGACCCGAAAGAUGGUGAACUAUGCCUGAGCAGGAUGAAGCCAGAGGAAACUCUGGUGGAGGUCCAUAGCGAUUCUGACGUGCAAAUCGAUCGUCGGACUUGG